CGUGUGUCUUUACAUUAAAGCCUAGUUAACAGCUCCAAUACUCAACUAGAGAAUAAGAGUAUUAGAUCAAGGUUAAACGGAUAAGCUGUUGAUAGUUUGGACUAAUUUUACACAGUUGGCUGUGCCAUGUUGGAAUUGUAGCACCUGGUGUUGUUGGACUUUACUACAGAAAGUGUUUAUUAAACAUUCAUGGAAGGAGUCUCCAGUGUCAGCACUUUGGAAAAGUCAGUAGGUUUUCCGAAAUGGGAAAAUCUUCACGCCAGGGAGGUUUGCACUUUACAGUUUCCAGUAAAAACCAGUACAUAUCCCCUUGAGACUGGAAUGAAACCAUUGAUCAUAGCACUUCUGUUUCAUCUUUAUAUGAGCCACGUGGGUUCUGGGGAGACUCGGGGGCCCUGGUGGGAACUGGUUUGGCAUCUGGGGAAAACUACAGUGAUGAAGCAUUUCCUGAGGCUCCCACUGACACAAGCAAGGGGCCACUGACCCAGACAUCACUGCCGCUGGCACCAGUGCAUGGCACACAGACUGAGAUUAGUCACAUGAGUCCCCUACGGCCUUCACUGAUCCUC
ensembl:lncRNA